rnacentral:tRNA from 1 species
GUAAAUCUGGCUCAGUUGGGAGAGCGCAGCGCCCGCAUCGCUGAGGUCUGGGGUUCAAAUCCCCUCGUCUCCACCA